AACGAACGCUGGCGGCAGGCCUAACACAUGCAAGUCGAACGCUGUAGCAAUACAGAGUGGCAGACGGGUGAGUAACGCGUGGGAACAUGCCCUUCGGUUCGGAAUAACUCAGGGAAACUUGAGCUAAUACCGGAUACGCCCUUAGGGGGAAAGAUUUAUUGCCGAAGGAUUGGCCCGCGUCCGAUUAGCUAGUUGGUGAGGUAAUGGCUCACCAAGGCGACGAUCGGUAGCUGGUCUGAGAGGAUGAUCAGCCACACUGGGACUGAGACGCGGCCCAGACUCCUACGGGAGGCAGCAGUGGGGAAUAUUGGACAAUGGGCGCAAGCCUGAUCCAGCCAUGCCGCGUGAGUGAUGAAGGCCCUAGGGUUGUAAAGCUCUUUCGCCAGGGACGAUAAUGACGGUACCUGGAUAAGAAGCCCCGGCUAACUUCGUGCCAGCCGCCGCGGUAACAC
rnacentral:rRNA from 1 species